UUAGCAGCAACUCAAAACUAGCUGUGCUAGCUAGCUAAGACGCCCAAAUUAACACGAUCGAAGGCUCUCCAAGACUGGACAUGGCGAAGGGGAUGAAUAGGCCUGUGCCUGCACUUCCAAGGCCACCUGGUCCCAAUCCAGCGUAUAGUGCGUCGGAGGCCGGGAAGAAGCCGGCGCCGUCGUCUACAACUGCUGAAAAAGGGUUGAUAGCUCCUGUGCCCCAACCUAGUGGUGGUCAGACCACAGGACCAGCAAAAAGCAAGGGCACAACCAAGUAGGGGUACAUCUAAGUGCUGGAUGAUCGCGAGUCUACGUAGGCCUUGGCCAAGAAAACCAUCGUAUCAGUUUGUCUGUCGAUUACUACCAUGCACGUAUAUUUUCACAAAAGAAAAUACUACCGCGUCCGUAGUGUUCGAGAAUAUUCGUAUGUAUAUGAAGGGUGUGUAAUCAGCAAAAGUAGAUACAGACGUAGCUAGAAAAGAAUCAAGUAUCUCAUUUGUUUCAUGCUGUUAAUAUUUUUCUAUACAUAUAUUGUUGUAUUCGUCAACAUGUAAUGGAAAUUGUAUUGAAUAAAUAUUCGAUCUAUCCAA